UCGCAUGGAAUAGUAUAUAUUGAUAGAGUAUUUGGUUAUUAAUACUGUAAAAUAAAAUAUGAUAUAAUAUAAAAUAUUUAAAUAAUUUAUUAUACUAGUUGAGUUUGCAAUGGGUUAUGUGGCUUCAUGAGAAUUCAAUAUAGUGAUGUGAUAGUAAUGCCAAAUAAUAUAUACUAUAGAUAUAAUAUAUUUAAAUAAUUUAUUAUACAACCGAAAUUUUAUCUUUAAUGCACAUUUUGGAGUCAGUUUACGAUGACCCGGAUGCGUCCAACAUUUUCAAUAAGCAUGUGGCAGCUGAGUUCGCAAUGGGCUACGUGGCUUCAUGAGAAUUCAAUAUAGUGAUGUGAUGGUAAUGCCGAAUAAUAUAUACUAUAGAUUUGGAGUUGGUUUACAAUGAACCGGAUGCAUCCAACAUUUUUAAGAGGCAUGUGGUAGUACCCCAUUGGUUUAGUUCUCAAUCGGCUACGUGGCUUCAUAAAAGCUCAAUAUAGUGAUGUGAUGGUAUUGCCAAAUAAUAUAUACUAGCGAAGAGACCCGCGCUUUGCAGCGGAUAGAAACCAUAAUAGUAAUUAAUAAUAAUAAAAUAUUAAAUAUUCUCUUGUGUAUCUUAUUUGUACAUCUACCGAAAGUAUCUUCUCACUGUAGGCGGCAGAUAUGAACCCGACGAUGCCUUCUCCGGCGAUGGUGAUAGUGACGGCGACAACGGUCUCUUCAACUACGGUGGAUGAAGGAAUUGGGCGCACAUUAGUGAGAGAGAGAAAGGGAGCGAGGGAAGGAGACAAUGGUGUAUAGCUAAAGAUGAGAGAUAGAGAAUUGAUAAACAAAUCGGAGAUAAAGAAUUGAAAUUCGGCGGAAUGAGAAAAAUGGGCCAUGAUAAAUAAUUGGAGAUAGAGAGGUUAGGAUCGUAGAUAGUAGUAGGACCAUUUAAAUAUAUUAAUUGGAAGUUUGGUAUUACAUUAAUUGAAAGUAUAGUGGAAGGAAGGUAGUGGGACCAUUGAAAUGCACUAAUUGAAAGUUUGAUUAAGGGGACCGUUAAAAUGCAUAUUGAAAAUUUAGUGAUGGAAAGAAAAAGAGUCACAUGCUAGUGGAGGUAAAGAAAAACUUGCCACGUGGCAACAAACAUUGGGAAUUCAUAUAGUUUAAUAGAUUAUUAUUAUUAUAUUAUAUUAUAUAUUAUAUAUAGAUAGAUGGGUAACACAUGUUUAA
rnacentral:lncRNA from 1 species